AUGGGGUGCUGUGGGUCUCUCUGGGGUCUGUAUGGGUCUCUAUGGGUCCCUAUGUGUCUCUGUGGGUCCCUUUGGGUCCCUAUGGUUUCUAUGGCACUCAGUGGGUCCCUAUGGGUCUCUAUGGGGUCCCUAUGGGUCCCUAUGGUUUCUAUGGGUCCCUAUGGGUCCCUAUGGGUCCGUUUGGGGUCCCUAUGGGUCCCUAUGGGUCUCUAUGGGGUCUGUAUGGGUCCCUAUGGGGUCUCUAUGGGUCUCUAUGGGGUCUCUAUGGGUCUCUAUGGGGUCCCUGUGGGUCCCUAUGGGGUCCCUAUGGGUCUCUGUGGGUUUCUAUGGGGCGCUAUGGGUCUCUCUGGGGUCCGUAUGGGGUCUCUAUGGGGUCCCUGUGGGUCUGUAUGGGUCCCUAUGUGUUCCUAUGGGUCCCUAUGUGUCUCUGCGGGUCCCUUUGGGUCCCUAUGGUUUCUAUGGCACUCAGUGGGUCUCUAUGGGGCGCUAUGGGGUCUCUAUGGGGCUCUGUGGAUCUCUAUGGGUCCCUUUGGGUCUGUGUGGGUCCCUAUGGGUCUCUGUGGUCUCUAUAGGGUACUAAGAGUCACUGUGGGGCGCUAUGGGGUCUCUGUGGGUCUGUAUGGGUCCCUAUGUGUCCCUUUGGGUCCCUAUGGUUUCUAUGGCACUCAGUGGGUCUCUAUGGGGCGCUAUGGGGUUUCCAUGGAUCUCUAUGGGGUCUCUAUGGGGCGCUAUGGGGUUUCUAUGGGGCUCUGUGUGUCUCUAUGGGGCGCUAUGGGGUUUCUAUGGGGCUCUGUGGGUCUCUAUGGGGUCUCUAUGGGUCUCUAUGGGUCUCUAUGGGGCGCUAUGGGGUUUCUAUGGGGCUCUAUGGGGCUCAAUGGGUCUCUAUGGGGCUCAAUGGGGCGCUAUGGGGCUCUGUGUGUCUCUAUGGGGUUUCUAUGGGUCUCUAUGGGGCGCUAUGGGGCUCUGUGUGUCUCUAUGGGGUUUCUAUGGGUCCCCACGCGUCCCCCCGGUGUCGCCGCGUUUCCCGGCGCCGUCCCGCCGUUCAUUAAAGCCGUUUCUGACCCCCGCCGCCUCCCGCCUGCGUCGCUCGCCGCCCGUGACGUCACACGGCGCCCGCGACGCAGCUCGAUGACGUCACGCGUCGCCGCCGGACCUCGCCGCGCUCUGUUGCCGGGCAACCGCCGCCAUCUUGCCUCCUCCCCCGUUGCCGGGCAACCGCCGCCAUCUUGCCUCCUCCCCCGUUGCCAGGCAACCGGCGCCAUCUUGUCGCCGCCCCGUUGCCAGGCAACCGCUGCCAUCUUGUCGCCGCCCCAUUGCCAGGCAACCGCUGCCAUCUUGUCGCCGCCCCGUUGCCGGGCAACCGCCGCCAUCUUGUCGCCGCCCCGUUGCCGGGCAACCGGCGCCAUCUUGUCACCGCCCCCGCGGCCGUUCCCGCAGCGCGCAUGCCCGCGGGCCGCGCUCCCAUUGGCCGUUUCAAACGGCGGCGGCGCGGGAGCGAUGGCGGCGGCGGAGGAGAGCGCCCCCCGGCGCCUGCAGGUCUUUGCCCGCCUUCGCCCGCCGCCCCCCGGCCAGCAGCUCUGCCUGCGCCCCACGGCGCCACACGGCCUGCAGCUCCUGCAUGGCGCGGGCAGGGAGCCCAGCAACUUCCGGCUGGACGCCGUUUUCGGGCCGCUGUGCCCCACAGCUGCCGUUUAUUCGGGGUCUUUGGGGCCGCUGCUGCCCCAGCUGUUGGCCGGGACGGAGCUCACCCUGCUCUGCUAUGGGGCCAGCGGCGCCGGUGAGUAGGGGGGCACCCUAUAAGUGGGGGUCACCCUAAAUACGGGGGCACAGCACCUAUGGGGUCACCCUAUAAGUGGGGGCACCCCAAAGAUGGGGGCGGCACAAUUAUGGGGUCACCCUAUAAGUGGGGGCACCCUAUAAAUGGUGGUCACCCCAAAGAUGGGGGGCACCGCAACUAUGGGGUCACCCUAUAAGUGGGGGUCACCCCACAGUUGGGGGCAGUGCACCCAUGGGAUCACCCCACAGAUGGGGGUCACCCCGUAUUUGGGGUCACUGCACUUAUGGGGUCACCCCAUACUUGGGGUCACUACGCUUAUGGGGUCACCCCACCUGUGGGUUUUCUCCCACCUUUGGGUGCCCCCCCCCACCUAUGGGUGCUGCCCCCCCCCACCUAUAGGUGUCCCUCCACCUUUGGGUGCCUUCACCCCUGUCCCCAUUAGGUGUCCCCCCACCUUUGGGUGCUCCCCACCCCCCCAUGGGUGCUCCUGCACCCCCUUUGGGUUCUCCCCCUUCCCACCUAU
rnacentral:lncRNA from 1 species